rnacentral:rRNA from 1 species
GAUGAACGCUGGCGGCGUGCCUAAUACAUGCAAGUAGAACGCUGAAGCAGGAGCUUGCUCUUCUGGAUGAGUUGCGAACGGGUGAGUAACGCGUAGGUAACCUGCCUGUUAGCGGGGGAUAACUAUUGGAAACGAUAGCUAAUACCGCAUGACAACAGUUAUUGCAUGAUAACUGUCUAAAAGGGGCAACUGCUCCACUACCAGAUGCACCUGCGUUGUAUUAGCAAGUUGGUGAGGUAACGGCUCACCAAGGCGACGAUACAUAGCCGACCUGAGAGGGGGAUCGGCCACACUGAGACGGAGACAGGGCACAGACUGCUUCGGGAAGCAGCCGUAGGGCAUCGUCGGCAAUGGACGGAAGUCUGAGCGAGCAACGCCGCGUGAGUGGGGAAGGUCUUCGGGUCGUAAAGCUCUGUUGUAAGAGAAGAACGAGUGUGAGGCUGGAAAGUUCACACUGUGACGGUAUCUUAACAAAAAGGGACGGCUAACUACGUG